GAAACCCGGUGAUCUAGCCAUGGGCAGGUUGAAGGUUGGGUAACACUAACUGGAGGACCGAACCGACUAAUGUUGAAAAAUUAGCGGAUGACCUGUGGCUGGGGGUGAAAGGCCAAUCAAACCGGGAGAUAGCUGGUUCUCCCCGAAAGCUAUUUAGGUAGCGCCUCGUGAAUUCAUCUCCGGGGGUAGAGCACUGUUUCGGCUAGGGGGCCAUCCCGGCUUACCAACCCGAUGCAAACUGCGAAUACCGGAGAAUGUUAUCACGGGAGACACACGGCGGGUGCUAACGUCCGUCGUGAAGAGGGAAACAACCCAGACCGCCAGCUAAGGUCCCAAAGUCAUGGUUAAGUGGGAAACGAUGUGGGAAGGCCCAGACAGCCAGGAUGUUGGCUUAGAAGCAGCCAUCAUUUAAAGAAAGCGUAAUAGCUCACUGGUCGAGUCGGCCUGCGCGGAAGAUGUAACGGGGCUAAACCAUG
rnacentral:rRNA from 2 species